GAAGUAAAAGUCGUAACAAGGUCUCCGUUGGUGAACCAGCGGAGGGAUCAUUACAGAGUUGCAAAACUCCCCAAACCAUCGUGAACCUUUACCGCUAAACAGUUGCUUCGGCGGGUGGCCCGCGGGUGCGCGCGCGCAAGCCGCGCCCCCGGGGGCCGCCGAGCCCGCCGGAGGAAUCCAAAAAACCAUCGCUUUCAGUACCGGCCUCUCUGAGUUACUGUACUUUUAAUUAAGUCAAAACUUUCAACAACGGAUCUCUUGGUUCUGGCAUCGAUGAAGAACGCAGCGAAAUGCGAUAAGUAAUGUGAAUUGCAGAAUUCAGUGAAUCAUCGAAUCUUUGAACGCACAUUGCGCCCGCCAGUAUUCUGGCGGGCAUGCCUGUUCGAGCGUCAUUUCCACCAUCAGGCCCCCGGGCCUGUGUUGGGGACCUGCGGCUGCCCGCAGGCCCCGAAAUUCAGUGGCGGUCGCGCCGUAGCAACCGAGCGUAGUAACUAAAACGUCUCGCUCUGGCUCCGCUGGGCGCGCUCCGGCCGUAAAACACCCCCCCUUUUCGCAAAGGUUGACCUCGGAUCAGGUAGGAAUACCCGCUGAACUUAAGCAUAUCAAUAAAGCGGAGGA
rnacentral:misc_RNA from 1 species